rnacentral:snRNA from 8 species
AUACUUACCUGGCAAGGGAGACACCGUGAUCAAGAAGGCGGUUCACCCAGGGCGAGGCUCAGCCAUUGCACUCCGGCUGUGCUGACCCCUGUGAAUUUCCCAAAUGUGGAAAUCUCGAUUGCAUAAUU